GCUUAACACAUGCAAGUCGAGCGGUAAGGCCCCUUCGGGGGUACACGAGCGGCGAACGGGUGAGUAACACGUGGGUGAUCUGCCUCGCACUCUGGGAUAAGCCUGGGAAACUGGGUCUAAUACCGGAUAUGACCACUGGUCGCAUGGUUGGUGGUGGAAAGAUUUAUCGGUGCGAGAUGAGCCCGCGGCCUAUCAGCUUGUUGGUGGGGUAAUGGCCUACCAAGGCGACGACGGGUAGCCGGCCUGAGAGGGCGACCGGCCACACUGGGACUGAGACACGGCCCAGACUCCUACGGGAGGCAGCAGUGGGGAAUAUUGCACAAUGGGCGAAAGCCUGAUGCAGCGACGCCGCGUGAGGGAUGACGGCCUUCGGGUUGUAAACCUCUUUCGACAGGGACGAAGCGCAAGUGACGGUACCUGUAGAAGAAGCACCGGCCAACUACGUGCCAGCAGCCGCGGUAAUACGUAGGGUGCGAGCGUUGUCCGGAAUUACUGGGCGUAAAGAGCUUGUAGGCGGCUUGUCGCGUCGAUCGUGAAAACUCACAGCUCAACUGUGAGCUUGCGGUCGAUACGGGCAGGCUUGAGUACUGCAGGGGAGACUGGAAUUC
rnacentral:rRNA from 1 species